CCUACGGGGGGCAGCAGUGGGGAAUAUUGGACAAUGGGCGCAAGCCUGAUCCAGCCAUGCCGCGUGUGUGAAGAAGGCCUUUUGGUUGUAAAGCACUUUAAGCGAGGAGGAGGCUUACCUGGUUAAUACCUGGGAUAAGUGGACGUUACUCGCAGAAUAAGCACCGGCUAACUCUGUGCCAGCAGCCGCGGUAAUACAGAGGGUGCGAGCGUUAAUCGGAAUUACUGGGCGUAAAGCGCGCGUAGGCGGUUUGUUAAGUCGGAUGUGAAAUCCCCGGGCUCAACCUGGGAAUUGCAUUCGAUACUGGCAAGCUAGAGUAUGGGAGAGGAAGGUAGAAUUCCAGGUGUAGCGGUGAAAUGCGUAGAGAUCUGGAGGAAUACCGAUGGCGAAGGCAGCCUUCUGGCCUAAUACUGACGCUGAGGUGCGAAAGCAUGGGGAGCAAACAGGAUUAGAUACCCGAGUAGUC
rnacentral:rRNA from 1 species